rnacentral:rRNA from 1 species
AUCGAACGCUGGCGGCAGGCCUAACACAUGCAAGUCGAGCGGAAGAAGGGAGCUUGCUCCUGGAUUCAGCGGCGGACGGGUGAGUAAUGCCUAGGAAUCUGCCUGGUAGUGGGGGACAACGUCCGGAAACGGGCGCUAAUACCGCAUACGUCCCGAGGGAGACAGUGGGGGAUCUUCGGACCUCGCGAUAGCAGAUGAGCCUAGGUCGGAUUAGCUAGUUGGUGGGGUAAAGGCCUGCCAAGGCGACGCUCACUAACUGGGCGAGGAGUGUGAGCAGUCACACUGGAAUUGGGACACGGUCCCGGCUCCUACGGGUGGCAGCAGUGGGGGUUGUUGGUCAUUGGGCGAGAGCCUGAUCCAGCCGUGCCGCGUGUGUGUAGAGGGUCUUCGGAUUGUGGAGCUCUUUAAGUUGGGAGGGAGGGCAGUAAGUUAGUUCCGUGCUGUGUUGACGUUACUAACAGAAUAAGCACCGGCUAACUUCGUG